UACAGAGGUCUCAAGCGUUGUUCGGAAUCACUGGGCGUAAAGCGUGCGUAGGCUGUUUCGUAAGUCGCGUGUGAAAGGCGCGGGCUCAACCCGCGGACGGCACAUGAUACUGCGAGACUAGAGUAAUGGAGGGGGAACCGGAAUUCUCGGUGUAGCAGUGAAAUGCGUAGAUAUACGGAGGAACAUCGGUGGCGUAAGCGCUUUACUGGGCCGUAAUUGACGCUGAGGAACGCAAGCCAGGGUAGCAAAUGGG
rnacentral:rRNA from 1 species